rnacentral:lncRNA from 1 species
UUUGAGACCGUUUUUAAUUAGGACUACAUUUCAUUUAAAGUGUGUGGAAUGUCUCUGUGGUCUCUUAAAAGUAGAAUGUGGUCAUGGCGCCAAAAUGGCAGUAAGCACCAUUAUAUAUUUGCUUAUCUCAACAAGAAUGUAUUUGGAGAAUGACUCUUAAAGUCCUUGACCCCCAGGUUGCUCUGGAGCACGUCUCUGACGUCUUGCUCAUGAGCACGUUCGCAGCGCGGGGUGGUGCUGCCUUACUUACAGUGUCUCUCUGACAGGUCUCUGACAUAGAGAGCAAGAUCGCCGCCCUCAACACUGUGGGGCUGGACAAGAAAAAGAAGAUCUCCGGCUCCCAGCAAAGGAAAAGGUCCACCCAGGACCCGUCAGCAAGAAGCAGCAACGGGUCUGGAUCCAUGUGGAGACCCCCCACCAUGCAUUAAGGGGAUCCCCAUCACACACAAAGGGGACUUUCUUGAGGAAACAAAGUCAUUUUAUUUCAGUUUAAUAGAGGGACGACAAGAAGGGGGAUGCUCUCAGGGGUGAAAGGGGAAAAUUCUCAAAUAAAUUGUGUUCAGGUUUUUUAAAUUAUUAGUAAUUUCAGCCAAAUCAACCAAUUUGGGCAAGAUACAUUUUAAUUUAAUGUGUAACAAAACUUUAAUAUAUGACAGGAUUAUUUCGACUUCCACUUGCUGGACCCAACCUUUUCCUCCCCUCCUCGCUCAUGUAAUUUGCCGUGUAUAACUUUUCAAUUUUUUUUAUGAAUGAAGCUUAUUUGUGACAUCAUGCUUUAGAGGUUAAAAAGUUUGUUCGACACUAGAUUUGAAUUGUUUUUGAAUUGUUUUUCAGAAAAUAGUUUUAUGCCUUCAUUGAGUGGAUUUAAAUCUGUAAAUUACUCAACUAUCACUAUAGAUAAUUGGUUAAGUUCAGCAUUCUAAACACUAUUUAUAUUUAAUAAUUUUCAAAAUUAUAUUUAUAACUUUGGUAUUCUGACCAAUAAUUGCAGAAACACUGUAUACAUCUUAAGAAAAUGCAACACAAAUAGAACAAUAUUCUAAAAAAGGUUAUCGUAUUGUUGUUGUUAUGAUUCACACCAUGAUGUAUAUAAAAUGAUGCUAUCGUUCAAACACGCACGGCUGUAAAAAUGAAAGUCUUUGAAAAUAUUAUGAGAGAAGCUUCAUUCAGAUAUAGGUUAUAAAAAUUUUAGUAAAAGUGAAUUGCAAAGAAAAGGCUGUUCUUGACUUUAUUUUCCAACUGUACUGUAGCCUACUGCUCUCUGUAUCUCAAAUAAACAAAUUACAGAAAG